rnacentral:tRNA from 1 species
GGGGUUGUGGCUCAGUGGUGGAGUGCUUACCUAGCAUGUGUGAGGCACUGAAUUCGAUUCUCAGCAAUGCAU